CCUCGCUGGGCUCCUCCCCCGGCACCACCUCCACCGGCGAGAGCGGGAUCGCCAGCCUGGAGUCCCUGGGCUCCCCCGUGGCCACGCUGCCCCCCAGGAGGAGAGUGAUGUCAGACACUUUCCCAGCACUUGGCAGCAAAUGCCAUCCUGCAGAAGCAUCUCCAGCCAGGCCCAGGGAGGCAGAGGGGGCAGAGCAGCCCCCUGGCACAGGUGUUUUUGGGAGCCCUCCUGGCCCAGCUGCCAGCCAGCCCGUGCCCUGUGUGGCCAAUGGGGAUGCCCAGGGUGCCAGGGAGGGAGCAGAGGCUGCCCCAGGGAGAAGCUUCCAGAACAGCCCUUCCCAUUCCUGUUGUCAUGCAGGGAAGGAAGGAGAGAUAAAAGUGACCUUGUCAAAAUCUGCUCAGGAGAAGCUGAGGAGGAGGAGGAAAGAAGACAAAGAGCACAACCAUAAAGAGCAGCAGGAAGGCAAAGACUUGGAAGGGAAGGAAGAAUUCCCUUGGGAAAGGAUUAGACUGAGUAUGAGUGAACCAGAGAAACUCACAGCAGAAAGGUUUAGUCUCUGUGGGGAUUUACUGACAUCACCAAGAAAUGGAUCUUUGUCCUUAGAAAAUGUGGCCUUGAACCCUUCCCUGAAAAGAACCUCCAGUUUGAAGAGGUCCAAGUGUUCAUCCUUGCUGGAUUCUGGUAAGCUGGGACAGUAAACUCUUAAAAUAUUUGGGUAGGUGGAGUGGGACAGUUUCAAAAUACAGUUUAUUUGUGCAGGGGACAGUCCUGAGGUGCUCUGGAAGAUCAGUGCUGUGGGGCUGGAGGGGAUUUAAUUCCUCAGUGGGGAUUCCAUUGAUCAUUUUUCAUCUAUGAGGGAGUUCAUGAAACAUCAGAGGCUUUUAGUUGGAUCAGGAUCUGAAAUGAUACAAUGCAUUAACAGCAAACUGACUACCCCUGUCCCCAAACCCUUCUGGGUACAUUUUGGCACUGAAUUGCCUUUUAAAUAGACAAUAGGAAAAUGUCAAGAGUAGAAGCUCCUACUGAUGGUUCUCAAAGGUGCCAGGGUUUGUCUGGUGUCUCUUCAAGGUUUAUGAGUUAUUAGCACACUGUGUAUCUGUUUUUACACUAAACAACCCCUACCUUUGUGUUGGUGACUCUUAAAAGUGAAGGUUGUGUGCAAAAUUGAAUUUACAUGAAUGAAACUCUGAUUGACUGGGGCUGCCCCUGGAUCCCUGGGAGUGUCCAAGGCCAGGGCUUGGCCUGCCAUGGUGGUGAUGCCCAGAACAGAGGCUGGGCAGAGUGAAAGGAUAAAGCAGGGAUUUGUUAAAAGGAAAUAAUUCCCUCACAGGACACGCCUUGGGCAGUGAUGCUGAUGCCUCCCUGGAGCAGAGCUGGGCACAGUUAAAGGAUAAAGCAGGGAUUUGUUCAA
rnacentral:lncRNA from 1 species